GAGUUGGAAGCUGCGGGGGGGGGAAGGGCUUGGGGCUUAUUUGCUUCGGAAGUCAAGUUAGUCUCCUUCCAGGUAUGAUCCUUCGUGCGGGGCUGUGUCCUGGCCUCUCGGAUGAAAUGGUGCAGGUAUUAAAAGCCAAUGGCAUCAAAACAGUGGUUGAUCUUGUCUCAUCGGAUCUGGAGGAAAUUGCCCAGAAGUAUUCUUUAUCAUACAAGACCUUAGUUGCAGUACGACGUGUGUUGCUGGCACAGUUUUCCUCCUUCCCAGUCAAUGGGGCAGAUCUCUAUGAAGAGUUGAAGCACACCACAGCCAUCUUGUCUACUGGAAUUGAAAGCUUGGACAAACUUCUUGACUCGGGUAUAUACACAGGGGAACUGACAGAACUUGUUGGAGCACCCAGUGCUGGAAAAACUCAGGUGUGCCUCAUUGUAGCUGCAAAUGUAUCCCAUAGUCUCAAGCAGACGGUCCUGUACAUUGACUCAACUGGGGGCUUCACCAGUGCCCGUCUCCUGGAGCUACUGAAUUGCUUAACUGAGGAUGAGGAGGAGCAGGCUGAGGCAUUGCGGAGGAUCCAGGUUUUUCGUACUUUUGAUGCCUACAAAAUGCUUGAUGUGCUGCAGGAAGUCCGCAGUUAUAUGGCCCAGCAGAUACUCAGCACCUCUGGACCAGUAAAGCUACUUAUUGUGGAUUCCAUUUCUGCUGUAAUUUGCCCUUUCUUGGGACUUCGGCAGCCCGAUGGCAUGGCCCUUAUGAUGCAUUUGGCUAGGGAGAUGAAAACCCUUGCCAAAGAAUUUGGGAUUGCCAUAUUGUUGACAAAUCAUGUGACCAGAGAUGCUGGCGGUGGUUUUAAACCAGCACUGGGUCGCUCGUGGAGUUUCAUACCUAACACUCGGCUGCUGCUGGAGAAGAGAAAAGACAAUUGUGAGAAAGCAGGUCGAGUUGCAUCUUUGAUGAAAUCUUCUCGACAGGUGAAAACAUGAAACAGAUGUCUAUACUGUGGCCUCCAUAUAUCAGACUUCUGUAACUUAGUGAUGUUCAAUUGUGUUGGAAAUACCUCUCUUAGAAUUCCUUGCCAAUAUAGCCAAAGGUAGUUAUUUAUCAACAAUGUAACCUAAUAGUUAGGAAGUAGGAUGGAAAACUUUAUUGCAAGGAAUAAAUAUGAGACCCGGGCUCGUUCAUAAUAGCUAUCUUUCAUAUUAAACACAUUCAAGUCCCUUCCCCCAUUCCCAGGAAAAAUAGCUUUCCCCAAAUUUGGCACCUCUGAAAGAGCUGGACUAUAGUAAUAGUCCAGCUCAUCCAAAUAUAAUGGACUGCAUGAUUCUUAGCCAUCAUGUUUACUAACAACUCCCCUCAGUCUCAACCUGCAUGGCCAAGUCACAUGCUUGCUGAGCAUAAUGAAUAUUGUAGUCCAUAGUUCUGGAAGGCACCAAAAUUAAAGAAGGGUUAGUAGAGUUUUAGAGGUGCAGAAGGACUGUGGAGACUUAUUAUGUGGGCACAUUCUAAUGCAGUAGUAGACAUGGCAGCACUCAGUGCUUUUGUAUGAAUGUGACAACAUUUGUCAGUUGCUGUUGCUGGCUGGAGCUGAUGGGAGACACUCUAGAAAUAGAAUACUAAGGAAGGCUAAUUAUUAGUACUAUUAAGAAAUGGGACUAUGUCAAGAACUGUAUUAAGAAAGAAGCACAGAUGAAAAGAUAGGAACAAUUGCAAUUUGUCAGGGACUUUGACUUUGCUCUAAGAGCUACAGCUAAUUUGUGGUUUUGGAUUCUGAGCAGAAAACAUACCCUGCCUGUCCUUCAUAUUGAUAGGCCUGUAAUUUUAAUUUAAUUUUCAAGCAUAACUCAGGAAGGGACAGGAAGCAUGGAAAGGUUAAUUGUCUUAAAGUAAUGGGCAUAUUUGGAGUUUUAAUACAUAUGGGCAUUUUCACAAAAUAGCUCCUGUUUUAGUAAAAAAAAAAAACACUACAUUUUCUAGUUUCUUUGUUUACAGUACUUGGGCGGGAGGGGACUUUUCUAAACAAAACUCUAGAGCAGAGGUAGGCAACCUUGGCUUUUUUUAUGACUCGUGGACUUCAACUCCCAGAAUUCCUGAGCUAUAUACGGUAUGGUCUUUAUUUAAAGAGGCAAUCUUGUAAAUAGAUAACACCUGAGUUCAAAAUAUUGUUUUUCAGGUUGUAGGAGUCUCAUUUAAAGUUUAACUGAAUGAUUAGUAAAGCGGGAUGAAGCAUAGAAUUGGAGCUAUUCCAUGGGAAGUAUAUGUGAGAAUCUUGGUGCCUAGUGAACAAAUUCAGAAGGCAUGUCUCUGAGUGAAAAACUUAGAGAUAAAGUUGGCCUUCCUUUAAGUAAGUUUAGAGGGAUAGACAGAAUGUUUCCAUCCCAGGAUGGGCAGUUUGAGUGACCCAAAUGUGGCUGCAGGUAUUGCUCAUUUGGAUUUGGAGUGUUCCAAGAUAAGAUUGUCUUUUAGAACACAUGUGAUGGCUUGUUUUGGGAAGAGAAUUUUUUUGUCAUAAAACAUGUUAUCUGUCUCUAUCAGAUACUGAAGUACAAAUCCUAAGAAGGAUUAGCCUGUAUGACUGUUUUUUCCUCUAAAUUUAGGCCAUACAUCUGCAGCCCUGGACAGUAUUCUGGUAACACACUGAUCUGAAAACUUCCAAAAUGUACUUCUCUCAAACCACUGUUGAAUACUUAGCUCAUUCUUUAUCAGAGAAAAGCAGUAUAGAAAUUAAUUAAUGGAUAUUCUUGUAACUUCUACUACUAGAGAUUUGUAGUUACAGGUAGUCCUUGAUUUACAGCCACAAUUGUGGGGGGACUGGAACUUCCAUCGUUAAGUGAUGUGGCUGUUCAGUGAGUUGUGUCUGAUUUUGUUUUUUUUUAUUUUUUUGCUUUUAUCACUUAGCAAAUUGCUGCUACAGUUGUCAAGUGAAUCAUACAUUCAUUAAUUGAAUCCAGCUUCCCCCAUUGACUUUGAUUGAUAGAAGAUCCCUGGGAAAGUUGCGAUCAUGUGAUCCCAGGAUGCUGCAACCAUCAUAAAUACAUCCUAGAUACAAAAAGCACCUGAAUUUCAAUCUCAUGACUGCAAGGACACUGUAAUGGUCAUAAGUGUGAGCCUUUUGGAGUUCAGGCGGAAUUAGACCUGAGGAACUGGGAAAUGAAAAAAGGAAGUCCAGUCACAUCAGACAAGGGACUAAAUGAUGGCAUGGGCAUGACUUCCUGAUCCACAAUUGGCUUUCC